rnacentral:lncRNA from 1 species
GGGAAGUUGCCUUGAGAUGCCCACCAUGUGCUGCCGCAACACAUGGUUGAUUCUUCCAAGCAGUGGAGUCCCUAUGGAGUCGUGGAGUCAGUGUGGCCUGGCAUCCAUGGUGCACCUCAUGCUGGCAGGUGGCUCAGCAUGGUAAGCAUUCCUCCCCUGAGUGCUGAGUGAGGGUAUCUUGUCGAUUUCCAAGGCAGGCAUUGCCCAGCCUGUGGUGUCAAACAUCCUGUGUUUUCAAAUGUGCUUGGAUCGAUGAUGAGUCCUACAAAAAAACAUUCCUUGGAAAAGCUGAACAAAAUGAGUGAAAACUCAUACCGUCGCUCUCAUCGGAACUGAGGUCCAGCACAUUGAAUGGAAUUGAAGUGAUCAGCAGACCUUCAAUUUAAUUGGGCCUGUUUCUCAAGUGUGCAUUUGAUUUAUUCACACUUCUCAGGAUCAGUUAAUCAUGAAAGCUCUGCUGCUUGCUGGCAAGGAAGAUGAUCUAGUCUUCUGACCUAUAGAGGCUGCAUUGAGUCCUUGAUUCAGUGUGGCGUGCUGUCUGCAGUGCACCCCGUGCUGGUGGGUGGCUCAGGACGGGGCAGUUAUCAUGGGACAUCUGCCACAUGCUGGCAAGGAAGAUGGUCAGUUCUUCUGGACACAAAGGCCCCCAGAGUCCUGGAGUCAUUAUGGCCUGGCAUCCAUGGUGCACCCCCUGCUGGUGGAUGGCUCAGGACGGGGCAGUUGCCUUGAGAGGCCCACCACGUGCUGCCACAACAGGUGGUCAAUUCUUCCGAGCAAUGGAGUCCCUAUGGAGCCAUGGAGCCAGUGUGGCCUGGCAUCCGUGGUGCACCUUGUGCUGGCGGGUGGCUCAGGACGCACAGUUAUGAUGGGACGUCCCCCAUAACCUGGCAAGGAAGAUGGUCGGCUCUUCUGAGGCACAAAGGCCUCGAGUCCUGGUGUUGGUAUGGCCUGGCCUCCACGGUGCACCCCUGCUGGUGGAUGGCUCAGGACGGGGCAGUUGCCUUGAGAGGCCCGCUGCAUGCUGCCACAACAGAUGGUCGAUUCUUACAAGCAACGGAGUCCCCAUGGAGUCGUGGAGUCAGUGUGGCCUGGCAUCCAUCGUGCACCUUGUGGUGGCAGGUGGCUCAGGGCGGGGCAGUUAUCAUGGGACAUCCGCCAUACGCUGGCAAGGAAGAUGGUCAGUUCUUCUGGUCCACAAAGGCCCCCGGAGUCCUGGAAUGGUUGAUUCUUCCACGCAACGGAGUCCCCAUGGAGCCGUGGAGUCAGUGUGCCCUGGCAUACAUGGUGCACCGCAUGCUAGCAGGUGGCUCAGGACGUUAUGAUGGGACGUCCCCCAUAACCUGGCAAGGAAGAUGGUCGGCUCUUCUGAGGCACAAAGGCCUCGAGUCCUGGUGUUGGUAUGGCCUGGCCUCCACGGUGCACCCCUGCUGGUGGAUGGCUCAGGACGGGGCAGUUGCCUUGAGAGGCCCGCUGCAUGCUGCCACAACAGAUGUUCGAUUCUUACAAGCAACGGAGUCCCCAUGGAGUCGUGGAGUCAGUGUGGCCUGGCAUCCAUCGUGCACCUUGUGGUGGCAGGUGGCUCAGGGCGGGGCAGUUAUCAUGGGACAUCCGCCAUACGCUGGCAAGGAAGAUGGUCAGUUCUUCCGGUCCACAAAGGCCCCCAGAGUCCUGGAGGGCUGUGCCCUGGAGAGACCUGCCAUGUGCUGCCGCAACAGAUGGUUGAUUCUUCCAAGCAACAGAGUCCCCAUGGAGUCAUGGAGUCAGUGUGCCCUGGCAUCCAUGGUGCACCCCGUGCUAGCAGGUGGCUCAGGACCGGGCAGUUAUCAUGGGACAUCCCACAUAUCCUGGCAAGGAAUGUGGUCCAUUCUUCUGAGCCGCAAAGGCCCCCAGAGUCCUGGAGUCAUUAUGGCCUGGCAUCCAUGGUACACCCCUGCUGAUGGAUGGCUCAAGAUGUUGCCUUGA